rnacentral:rRNA from 1 species
UACACCCACUAUCCGCCCGGGAACUACGAGCAAAAGCUUAAAACCCAAAGGACUUGGCGGUGCUUUAGAUCCACCUAGAGGAGCCUGUUCUAGAACCGAUAACCCCCGUUCAACCUCACCUUUCCUUGUUUUUCCCGCCUAUAUACCGCCGUCGUCAGCUUACCCUCUGAAGGUCUAAUAGUAAGCAAGACUGGUACAACCUAAAACGUCAGGUCGAGGUGUAGCGUAUGGAAGGGGAAGAAAUGGGCUACAUUCGCUACUACAGCGAAUACGGAGGGUGUACUGAAACGUACACCUGAAGGAGAAUUUAGCAGUAAGCAGGAAAUAGAGCGUCCCGCUGAAAUCGGCCCUGAAGCGCGCACACACCGCCCGUCACUCUCCCCGAAAACACCCACUCAGUUAAUUAAAACCUAAUAAUCAUAGAGGGGAGGCAAGUCGUAACAUGGUAAGUGUACCGGAAGGUGCACUUGGAAAAAU